UUGUAGCAUACAAGGCAUACGGCUCAGUAACGCGUAGUCAACCUAACCUAUGGACGGGAAUAACCUCGGGAAACUGAGAAUAAUGCCCGAUAGAACAUUAUGCCUGGAAUGGUUUAUGUUCCAAAUGAUUUAUCGCCGUAGGAUGGGACUGCGGCCUAUCAGUUUGUUGGUGAGGUAAUGGCCCACCAAGACUAUUACAGGUACGGGCUCUGAGAGGAGUAGCCCGGAGAUGGGUACUGAGACACGGACCCAGGCCCUAUGGGGCGCAGCAGGCGAGAAAACUUUGCAAUGUGCGAAAGCACGACAAGGUUAAUCCGAGUGGUUUCUGCUAAAGAAACCUUUUGUCAGUCCUAGAAACACUGAUGAAUAAGGGGUGGGCAAGUUCUGGUGUCAGCCGCCGCGGUAAAACCAGCACCUCAAGUGGUCAGGAUGAUUAUUGGGCCUAAAGCAUCCGUAGCCGGCUCUGUAAGUUUUCGGUUAAAUCUGUACGCUCAACGUACAGGCUGCCGGGAAUACUGCAGAGCUAGGGAGUGGGAGAGGUAGACGGUACUCGGUAGGAAGGGGUAAAAUCCUUUGAUCUAUUGAUGACCACCUGUGGCGAAGGCGGUCUACCAGAACACGUCCGACGGUGAGGGAUGAAAGCUGGGGGAGCAAACCGGAUUAGAUACCCGGGUAGUCCCAGCUGUAAACUAUGCAAACUCAGUGAUGCAUUGGCUUGUGGCCAAUGCAGUGCUGCAGGGAAGCCGUUAAGUUUGCCGCCUGGGAAGUACGUACGCAAGUAUGAAACUUAAAGGAAUUGGCGGGGGGAGCACCACAAGGGGGUGAAGCCUGCGGUUCAAUUGGAUUCAACGCCCGGAAAAGGGCAAAUUCUGCAAAUAUCCAUC
rnacentral:rRNA from 1 species